rnacentral:rRNA from 1 species
GACCGAAGUGCAUCUGAGUUGUCACAAGCACAAGAUGCACCUAAGCACACCAUUAAGAUGGUCUUAGAAACUAAGGACUGAUUUAACUCCACGAAAGCCAGGGCCCAAACUGGGAUUAGAUACCCCACUAUGCCUGGCCCUAAAUCUCGAUACUUCCUAUACCAAAGUAUCCGCCAGAGAACUACGAGCACAAACGCUUAAAACUCUAAGGACUUGGCGGUGCCCCAAACCCACCUAGAGGAGCCUGUUCUAUAAUCGAUAAUCCACGAUCCACCCAACCACCCCUUGCCAACACAGCCUACAUACCGCCGUCGCCAGCUCACCUCACAUGAGAGCACAACAGUGAGCGCAACAGCACCCCGCUAGUAAGACAGGUCAAGGUAUAGCCUAUGGGGUGGAAGAAAUGGGCUACAUUCCCUAUGCAUAGGGCAACACGGAAAGAAGCAUGAAACUGCUUCUAGAAGGCGGAUUUAGCAGUAAAGCGGGAUAAUAGAGCCUGCUUUAAGACGGCCCUGGGGCACGUACAUACCGCCCGUCACCCUCCUCACAAGCCGCUUCCCACAUAACUAANACCACUUAUGCGCUAAAGAUGAGGUAAGUCGUAACAAGGUAAGUGUACCGGAAGGUGUACUUAGAA